UACGAAGGGGGCUAGCGUUGCUCGGAAUUACUGGGCGUAAAGCGCACGUAGGCGGUCUUUUAAGUCGGGGGUGAAAUCCUGGAGCUCAACUCCAGAACUGCCUUCGAUACUGGAAGACUCGAGUCCGGGAGAGGUGAGUGGAACUGCGAGUGUAGAGGUGAAAUUCGUAGAUAUUCGCAAGAACACCAGUGGCGAAGGCGGCUCACUGGCCCGGUACUGACGCUGAGGCACGAAAGCGUGGGGAGCAAACAGG
rnacentral:rRNA from 1 species